rnacentral:lncRNA from 1 species
CGGCGGCGGCGGCGGGGGAGGGAUCAGGCAGGAAGAAGGCGGCGGGGCGCCGGCUGGCCGGCGUGAUGCUGCUGCUCCGGCUGGCGUCGCUGUGCUUCGCGGUGGCCGCGGCCGCGUUCGCCGCGACGGACGGCGCUGCGCUCCGGGCCGCGCCGUUCAGGUUCCUGCUCGCUGCGAACGCCAUCGUGGCGGUUUACUCGGCGUUCGAGGUCGCCGCGGCGGCGUGGGAGGUGGCCGGCGGCGCCACGCUCCUUCCCGAGGCCAUGCAGCUCUGGUUCGACUUCGGCCACGACCAAGUAGGUGUCUCUUCUUCUUCUUCUUCUUCUUCUUCUUCUUCUUCUUCUUCUUCUCCGGUAGCUAGCUAGCUAGCUCGCAAUCGCCAUGGAAUUGAUGAACUGGAUGUGCGCGCGUGCAGGGGUUCGGGUACAUGGCGCUGGCGGCUGCGGCGGCGGCGGCGCGGGAGGCGGCGACGUGCGGAUCACACGGCGGCGGCACGGCGUGCGUGCAGGGGGACAUCGCGGUGGGGCUCGGGUUCGCGGGGUUCGCGGCGGUGGCGGCGGCGGCGGCGGCGUCGGGGUACCGCCUCGCCUGCUUCCUCGCCACCGGCUCGCGCUCGCCGGCCUCACCGUCCUCCUCCCCCUACUGACCAAUUCAGUGUACUCCGGUCGCCGGAACAAACACCUCUCGGGCAUGAAAAUCUGCAGUGUCAUGCUCGCCUCGAGCUAGCUAAGCUAGCUUGGACCUUGGAUAGCUCUAGCUGCUUAAUUAAUUAGCGGCCUAGCCUUAAUUAAUUACAGUAUGUGUUAAGCUGCAUGCAAAUCGAUUAGAUAUAUAGUAUCAGAGUGCUAUGUGUAUUUUGUGUGAGUGCUGCUGUUGCAAGUUGCACGAGAAGAGAACUAGCAAAAGAAAUCGAAGAAAAUGAGAAGCUUAUUAAUUAAUUAUAUUAUAUGCAGCAAUCUCAAACAAAACGACCGAUAUCAUCAAUUCGAUUUAUACGUGUGUAACGGUGUGCGCGCAUGUGUAAUUAUAAGAAUGAGUAAAGUGUAUGAAAGGAUAUUCAACUUGUUUAAUUAGGUGUGUCAUAUUGGUCACCUACUUUUAAAAUACGUAUUAAUGUGAGUUUGAGUGAGUUCUAUUCUUGUCUAAGGCUAAGUACACCUCCCUUGUUUUUCACACAUACGCUUUCUGAUACAUUUUUUUAAAAAAUAAUAUAUAAAAUUUGCUUUAAAAUACCAUAUUAAUCCAUUUAUCAGAAAAAAAAAUAAAUAUUUAAUUAAUUAUAUGCUAAUGACUCGCUCUCUUUUGUAUGCGCGAGGAAUUAGUUCUCAACUUCACCAUUUGAACACAAACUAACCAUUCACACGAGUAUAUCUUACACAUGGCAUGCUACCUAUGAUUGCAAGAUAUACUCAUGCACACAUUACAAAGUGAUUGCAAGAUCUAACAAUGUAAUUGAGUGGAAUAAAAACAUGGAGGAGAUGAAAGCUGCUAGGGUUUGAUGGUAAGGGAGAGAGGGUGGAUAACUAAAACUCAUCAAAACUGACUUGGUUUCACUAAUCUUGUGUAUUGCUAAUUGUUAGUAUCAUGAGAAAAGGAAAAAUACACAGGGGAUUUUCUGUACAUUUCUAGCUAGAUGUGAUUUUUUUUUCAAUCCUACGUAACUUGUCAUGUGUACAAGGUACUCCCUCCGCUUCACAACAUAAUUUAUUCUAGCAUUUCCCACAUUCAUAUUGAUGUUAAUGAAUCUAGAUCUAGAUUCAUUAACAUCAAUAUGAAUGUGGGAAAUGCUAAAAUGAAUUAUAUAGAUUCAUUAACAUCAAUAUGAAUGUGGGAAAUGCUAGAAUGAAUUACAUUGUGAAACGGAGAAAGUAUGUUUUCUAUAUAUAGUUAGAUAGGUAAAUGACUAACUUAAUUCACAUUACUGAUCUAAACAUGUAUCUUUAAAGAAAAAUGACCUAUGUCACACCUAAAUAAGUUGAAUGAUCUACUCUGUAAAAAUCAUAAAAGAGAAAAGAAAAGGUAAAAAUGCUCGUAAAAUGGCCGUCGACGACGAACUGGACAUACGGACGGGCGGGGCGUGUGCGACUGCAAAGUGCAACAAAAAUUGCGGCCCGGCCAGGCAUGUGGGGUGGGCUGGGCUUUCGGCCCAUGUUAAUAUGGGCCGAAGUGGGCCAGGUUUGAUGGGCUGGAGCGACAUAAAGGUUUGAUGGCCUAGCUGGAAACGCGGUUUGAGCUGCUGCACUUGUUUCGGGCGAUUCUUCCUCGUUGGAACAAAAAAAAAAAAGAAAAAAGAAAAAAAGAGAGAAGCCCGGAAACCGUCCAAGUCCAUGCUCCGUCACGCACGGCUGGAUCAUGGAGCGCGGCUAGAAUUAUUGGUCAUGGGUUCCUCAUAAGUUUUAAAUUUUGUAUUAAAGUAGAUGGUCGAUUUAUUCUUUAAUUUCUGUCUCUUUUAUAUUAGUGCCGAGCACGGUAUUGCAAGAUCAACUAUUCACUCAAUAAUUAUAGACAUUAAGAUUUUAAAAAUGAUGUGAACUAAAAAUACGGUGACAAUAGCAUUUCAAAGUAUACAAAAUUAUGGGGAGGUUAGUCCUUACUUGCCUCCUCUGUCUUGGAAAAAUAAUCCAAUAUCAUAUUUUUAUGUAUAUUUUUAUUAUUUGAGUUAUUUUGAAAUAUAAAGAAUAUUGUUUUGUCCAUUGCGAAGUAGUCUACUAGUCUUAUUUUUUUACUUAUCCAUUAAGAUUUCACCUGACAUGACAUCUCGAGUGGGUAAAACAAUUUAAGCACUCAAAAUAGACAAUUUUGAAAGUUAGAGACUAAAUCAAUACUUCAUUCGUCCCAUGAUAUUUUUUUUCUAGCAUUUAAAAGUUGUCCCAAAAUAGUUGUCAUUUUAAAGUACUAAUUGUCACAUCAACCAUCUCCAAUUUAAAUUUCUCCCCAUUCUACCUCCAACCAACAUCCCACAUCGAACCAUGCAUUAUUUAUGAAAGGUAAUUAUAGUCCUUUUCUUAUAACAUUAAUAUAUGCUAAACAAUCUAGAAUGACAAGUAUUCUGGGACAGAGGUAAUAUUCACCCAAAAAAUAAAAAAAUAAUUAGACAUUCUCCUUGAUUUUUUUUAGAUAAUGAUUCUCCUCGUAUUUGAGAAAUUUAAACAUAUGAAAAAGAAAAUUUAGACAUAUCAAUGAAAUGCUGUUGAUCAAGUUUCUAAAAAACAGAUAAAAAUUUAUCAAAAGGCAAAGCAGUAACCGAUGGAAACUGCAGUUAAAAUCCGACUUGACUGCUAUAAACUGAUGACUCGUCGAAAAGCAAAAACUCGGUAGCGUCCAAUUCCAAACAAACCCAAAAAACCAAACGAGAAGGAAAAAAAAACCGCCCACCCAAUCGAAAACCCUCCUCCCAACCACCCACGCCGUCCGAUCCCCAUCCGACGGCUCACAUCCCCCCAACCCCCGCGCCGUGACGUGGCCCCCACCACACCAAGAUGCCACCUUUUUUUCCCUUUUCUUUUUCCCCGCAUUAUUUGAUUUCCUCUCUCUCUCUCUCUCUCUCUCCUCUCUCGCUUCCUCCUCCUCCUCUUCGCCGCCGCCGCCGCGCGCCGCCGAUCGGGCCAGCGGCAGGGGGGCCACCCGCGCGCGGAGAAGGAGGCUCCGGCUGUCGACGUCUGCUGCGGCGGGCGCGCGGCUUCACCGCUGCGGUUUCUCUCUCCCCCCGCACACCCCCCCGCGACGUAAGUGAGGUCAAAACCCUAGUCUCCUCCUCCAUCUCCGUCCCGCGGCUGGAUCUGGGGCCCGGUCCCGAUCUGAUCGGGAUCUUCGGCUCCGAUCUCCGUCCCGCGGUUUGCCCGCCUCCCGAUUCGUCGGUGGAUUUGGGUGGGGGGCGCGCGCGCGCUUUGCUCGGUUUUUUUGUGUGACUAUGCGAUCGGUUUCGGGAGCGGGGUUGCUAGAUCUGAGCGGAGUACUCGUGUGAGAGCUCGUGUAGUUGGCGAUUCCUCCGCGUGGGAAGCUUAGAUUCGUUGUGUGGUCUAGUCGCGUCUCGCAGAUUCGAUCGAACGCUACGAUGAAUUCGUGUUUCUGGUGUUCCUUUUACGGAUGGAAUUGGUCGAAGUGUUUCUGGCUAUGAACUGCUUCGUGCCAAAAUUCCUGCCUCUAUUUAGCUGUACUUUGAACUGUGUGUGUAGCUCUAGCAGUCUAGCCCCCUAGAACUCGUUCAUUCAUUCAUGCUGUUACCUUUUCAGUAAGAGCUAAAGCUAAUUCCUAAAUUUGUCCGGGGACCAAGCUAGUCCUUUUUUAUGCUGCAGCUCCUAUUUUCAUAGCUUCCAGCUGAUUCCUGCUAGUAUAAUACUAUAAUUUAUAAUAUGAAUAUGCCAUGGACUGUUUUAUUGUGGCCGGCUGUUUUCGUCUGCACAAGUAUUGUGUCUCACUGCUUUCCUGUCUUUCCUCUGUUGAUUUUAUUGUUCUAUGUUAUAUUGGAAUCUAGUAAGCUAACACAGUACACCGACUUUUUUAUAAUAGAAUAUUGUAUAUAGGAUGAGGUCAUAUCGAUGAAUGAUUAACCCCUUAGUGUUUUUAUGCUGGUAUUUGUGAUACAUCAUACAUGGUCUUGUAAAGCUCAUUAGCUUUUGUGCCAAUCGAAUGCUUCGAAGUUGUAUCACAUCGUCUUAUUUCUACAGUAUGUUGUUUAGUUAUUGGCGUAUUUUUUAUUUUCUGGUCCAGCAAUUUAUCGGCAUAUUCUUAUCUAUUGUACUGUCUAUAUAUACUUCAUUUCUUGCAUGUUUAUUGUUUUAUCUUAUUAAUGAACUAGCAUCUUGUGGUUUAUUUUCUCAUGUUGCCUGCUGUACCAGAUGAUUUUUUUCUCCUUAUGAAUUGGCAUGCUUAAAGUAUAUCUACUAAGUGUAAUUCUGGAUAUAUGCGUAUCUUGUUAACUUUGCAUUAUAGAGGAACAUAGUGCAGCUUGUGUGGCUUUGCAGUUGGUAUUCUAGAUGAUUUUACUAUGUGUUGGUCUUGUUUAUUUUGCAUCUCUGCGAAGCUAUACAUGUUAGAUAUGUGUAAUACUUUUUUGCCAUGAGCCAUGAUUGUUUAUCUAAUUCCUUUUUUGGGGUCUCAGAGUCAAUAUGUCACUGGAUAUUACUCAAGUUCUCUUGAGUGCACAAUCUCCUGAUGGCGCGACUAGGAAGCUUGCUGAAGAAAGCCUUAAGCAGUUCCAGGAGCAAAACCUCCCAGGUUUCUUGUUCUCCCUCUCAAAUGAGUUGGCCAAUGAGGAGAAACCUGAGGAAAGCCGGAGGUUGGCUGGCUUGAUUCUCAAGAAUGCACUGGAUGCCAAGGAGCAGCACAGGAAGAAUGAGCUUUUCCAGAGAUGGCUGGCACUAGAUGUUGGCGUUAAGGCACAGAUUAAAGGAUUUCUUUUGCAAACUCUCUCAUCUCCUGUUGCAAGUGCCAGAUCUACCUCUUCUCAAGUUAUCGCAAAGGUUGCUGGAAUUGAGAUUCCACAGAAGCAAUGGCCUGAACUUAUUGCGUCGUUGCUCUCAAACAUACAUCAGGUCCAGCCAAAUGUCAAGCAAGCGACGCUUGAGACACUUGGCUACUUAUGUGAAGAAGUUUCUCCAGAAGCUGUUGACCAAGACCAAGUCAAUAAAAUUCUUACUGCUGUUGUUCAGGGUAUGAAUGCUUCUGAAGGGAAUUCUGAUGUGAGGCUUGCAGCAACACGGGCAUUGUAUAAUGCAUUGGGCUUUGCUCAGGUUAACUUCUCCAACGACAUGGAACGUGAUUAUAUCAUGAGAGUUGUUUGUGAAGCAACUCAGUCCACUGAUGUGAAGAUAAGGCAGGCUGCCUUCGAGUGCUUGGUGGCUAUCUCAUCCACUUAUUAUGACAAGCUGGCUACGUACAUGCAGGACAUAUUUAAUAUUACUGCUAAGGCUGUUAGGGGAGAUGAGGAGUCAGUUGCACUCCAGGCCAUUGAAUUUUGGAGCUCCAUAUGUGAUGAGGAAAUUGACAUUUUGGAUGAGUACAGUAGUGAGUUUACAGCUGACUCUGAUGUUCCUUGCUACUAUUUUAUCAAGCAAGCACUUCCUGCCUUAGUGCCAAUGCUGCUAGAGACCCUCCUCAAGCAGGAGGAAGACCAAGACUUGGAUGAAGGUGCUUGGAAUCUUGCAAUGGCUGGGGGUACUUGUUUGGGCCUUGUGGCGAGAACUGUUGGGGAUGAUAUUGUACCUCUUGUGAUGCCUUUUGUUGAGGAGAACAUAACAAAGCCUGAUUGGAGGCACAGGGAGGCUGCAACAUAUGCUUUCGGUUCCAUUUUGGAGGGCCCAUCAGCUGAUAAACUUGCUCCUCUUGUUAAUGUCGCAUUGAAUUUUAUGUUGUCUGCACUGGUGAAUGACCCAAGUAACCAUGUGAAGGACACAACUGCUUGGACCCUUGGAAGAAUAUUUGAGUUUCUUCAUGGUUCUGCACUUGAAACUGCUCCUAUUAUCACAUCUGAGAACUGUCAGCAAAUACUUACCGUGCUUCUUCAAAGCAUGAAGGAUGUCCCAAAUGUGGCAGAGAAGGCAUGCGGAGCACUCUAUUUCCUUGCUCAAGGCUAUGUGGAUGCAGGAUCCGCUUCGCCGCUAACUCCCUUCUUCCAAGAUAUUAUUCAGAGCCUUCUCUUUGUUACUCAUAGGGAAGAUGCUGGAGAAUCCAGAUUGCGUACUGCAGCUUAUGAAACUCUAAAUGAAGUUGUCAGAUGCUCCAUUGAAGAAACAGGCCCUAUUGUUAUGCAGUUGGUACCUGUGAUCAUGAUGGAGCUCCAUCAGACACUUGAGGCAGGAAAGUUAUCAACUGAUGAGAGGGAGAAGCGGAGCGAACUGCAGGGCCUUCUCUGUGGUUGUUUGCAGGUCAUAAUCCAGAAGUUGGGAGCGAUGGAGUCAACAAAAUAUUCCUUCUUGCAAUAUGCCGAUCAAAUGAUGGAACUGUUUUUGAGAGUUUUUGCCUGUCGAAACGCCACUGUGCAUGAGGAGGCUAUGCUUGCUAUUGGUGCAUUGGCAUAUGCGGCAGGUCCAAACUUUUCGAAGUACAUGCCUCAGUUUUAUCAGUAUUUGGAGAUGGGACUACAGAACUUUGAGGAGUAUCAGGUCUGUGCCAUUACCGUGGGUGUUGUGGGUGAUUUGUGCAGGGCACUGGAGGACAAAAUUCUGCCUUACUGUGAUGGAAUCAUGACCCAACUCCUGAAGGACUUGUCGAGCAAUCAGUUGCAUAGAUCUGUAAAGCCACCUAUAUUCUCAUGCUUUGGCGAUAUUGCACUGGCAAUUGGGGAGAACUUUGAGAAGUAUUUGAUAUAUGCCAUGCCCAUGCUACAAAGUGCAGCAGAUUUGUCGGCGCAUGCUGCUGCAGCUGAUGAUGAAAUGCUCGAUUACACCAACCAAUUAAGGAAUGGAAUACUGGAAGCAUACUCUGGUAUUCUUCAAGGAUUUAAGAGCUCCCCUAAGACACAAUUACUGAUGCAGUAUGCUCCCAAUAUUCUUAAUUUCCUUGAUGCUCUUUACAAUGGGAAGGAUAUGUAAGUCUUUAACUUUAUAUUUUGCUUCGCUGCAAUCCUCAUUAUUAACAUCGAUUUUUUUAGUUAACUACCAAAAUCUAAAUCGAUGUCAUAUAUGCUUUUCAGGGAUGAUACUGUGAUGAAGACUGCGAUAGGUGUACUGGGAGAUCUCGCGGACACGUUGGGUGUCCAUGCUGGCCCUUUGAUCAAUCAAUCUAUCUCAAGCAAGAAAUUUUUGGAGGAGUGCUUAGCAUCUGAUGAUCCACUGGUCAAAGAGUCAGCUGAUUGGGCAAGGGUUGCAAUCAGCCGUGCGGUUUCAGGUUGAGGUCACAUUGGUCUCGAGUCUGCACAUGCAUCAUUCCACUUGUCAUGUCCGGGUCUUGGUUGCAUCAUGUCUAGACCUGCUCUUUGGAGAAGUCAACCCAUCCUUACAGCAGAGUCGGAGGUCCUCACUAACUCAUGCAUCAAUACAUGUGUCAGCCUGUCCUUAUCACUUCUGCAGAAGAGAGGGUUAAGUUGGCUGCCUGCUAACUUUGCUUAAGGCAUCUAGAACCUUCAUUUCUUACUGGAGGUGAGAUGAGCUUCUACAGUUGCCUGGCAUCCCGAUUGUUCAUCGGCAUGGCUUGGCAUGCGUAGGGUCUGGGUGCUAUCGUUUUCCAUUGCAUUCAUUGCAUGCAUCGAACUUUGGUCGGAUGGUCACUCGAUACAUGGUCCAGUUGCUUAUGUUUCAAUUAAGCAAAAAGAGGGCUCGAAUGCAUUGUCACAGGAUUAUUUUGUAUUAGCUCAGGGCGACAAAGUUCAUUAUGUCGGACCUGAGCGUUCUGUCCCUCCCUUAGCUGGUAGCUUUUCUUUAAUUUCCUAGCAUUUUCUUCACUUGCAUUGUCUUGCAUUCAUUCUUGGUCUGUUUUGUAAGAGUUCACCUUUUAUCAAAACUUCGGUCCAGUCCGGUCCGGUACAGCACGCCGUUGUACAAGUCCUCGCGUGCAUCGGUUUUAUUUCCUGGUGUAUCGGAGCAGCAGGCAUUUGUACUUUCUUUCUUUUUUUUUGGGUUACUAUCCUCUGCUCCAUUUCAGUUUCCUUGAAGAAGCUGGGCUGCUGAAAAACAAAAACAAUUAUAGGUCUUGGAGUGGUUUUUUUGGGAGGCGGUUGGCCGAGUUGAAUUUGUUUACAAAAAUUGUAUUAUUCUAUGGAGCUCUGCCUCCUCUCUCCCCCCAUGUGUCAUAUAAUUUGCUGGCAUAUUAUGAGAAUAUGGUGAAAUGCGUUGAAAUGAUAUGGUGUUUUGCUUGCAUGGUAUGCUCGUAUGGUUUGAUUCGGUAAGAGUUUGGUGCCCAGUCCCUCUGUGGCUGUAUAUACAGUUAUUACUGCCUAGUGUAAAGUUUCGAAAUUGAAUGAUGAAUUUGAUUCAUUUGUUAAUUUUCUGUUUAUCCGAGUGGUGAAGUUGCCUCAGGUUUGCUGGUUGGCAAAACUACAGACGCGUUGGCCGAUUUGUUCGAUUUGCAGAAAUGGAUGUGUGCAUUAGUAGCAGUAGUGCGCUACGUUUAGCACACGUAGCAGUGCGAACUGCAAACCCAGCGAAGUUUCCUCUCGACGCGGUUGCCAUCGAUCAUCAAAUCGGUCGUUUGUUUCUGUUCUUUCUUUGCACUUGCACUGCCACUGCGGGAUGCGUAUUAUUUGGCUGCCACAUGCAAGUUCAGACUUCUUGAUUCCACUGCGGUCAGAUUCGGUAAGUUUUCAAGAGGAAGUUAUCUGAAGCUAAACCGAUUUGAACAUCUACAAAUGUCAGUGAUCGGAGCCAUCCCUCUCUACAAAGGUAUAAUGCAUUAGUGAUCGGAGCCAUCCCUCUCUACAUAGAUAUAAUGUAUUAUGGGCCGUUCUGGAUUGAAGCCUAAACGUGCCCUACCAAUAUUUUUGAUAGCUUGAAGAGUAGGCACGGUUGUUUAGUUUGAAGCCAAAUAAUUAACAUUGCCAAUGUUCAAUUUGGCAAUUUCUAAAUUCUAAUCAAAGUUUUGGCUUCUAAUUUGUAUGAAACCAAAUACAACUUUACCCUACCAAAGAAAUGUUAGUGCUAAAAUUUGCUCAGGUUUUGGCACUACCAAUAUUUUGAUUGGGCAUUGUUAUAACUGUUUGUAUAUACUUGUAUGGACAAUGUUUUAGGAAGAAGCUAAGCUAAAAGAACAUGUGGUUCCAAGUAUUAAUAUUCUUUCCUAUCACUCUUCCUCUCUCUCUCAGGGUACUAGCAGUACCAUGAAGGAUAUGAAUGGAAGUACCUUCUGAGUUCUGAUGUAUUCUAGUUUUAAAAUAAAUUAAAUACCUAAUAUGAACUUAAAAAAAACAAAUUCCUGUCAUACAUCACUACCUAUAUAUACUUAUGUUCAUUUUGCAAUUCUAUUCGAAUAGCCCAAUAUGCUUUUAUUUUUGCAUGAAUCAUAGGCUUGGCGAUAACACUAGAAUGGGAAGUGGAAGUUAGAUGAGAGUAAGACAGCUUCCUUAUGAAACCACAUGAUUUUAUAUGUGGGUGAGCCUUUGAGAGUGUUUUUUUUUCUCUCUUUUCCCUCAUGUCACGUCGCAUUAGUCUGAUUUUGAAUUCUGAAGACAUGUUCUUUAUUUGCUCCAACGUAAUUUGUUCCAAGUGUCUCUGCUCUUCAGGAACAAUCACAUAGCUUUAGAAAUACAGCUUCAGUUCCAGAUUCUGACCAGCCAGCUGAUAUGAUUUGUUUGAUAAUGCCCUCUGUUAUUAAGGAUGAUUCUUGGUUCAGACUGGAGAAUUCAAAUUACAAAAAGGUUCAGAUUGCUUUGAGAGGUACUAGUACAGCAUUUUAGCAUAGAUAAAAAUGAGAGAAAUUAACCGAGAUAGACUUCAGGAGUUCAGGGGCAAUAAAUGAAACACUUCUUCCAUCCAACCCAUUGCAUGGUGUAUUUUCCAUAUGCCAGAUGCAGUUUGGUUGUCACUUAAUUCCUGCCUCCCCAUUUCAUUGUAAAACAAAACUAUUUCAAAUUUGAUUUUUAAAAAUAGUUUUGGAUAGAUAUCUUACUUGGCCUUUUAGCAAACAUGAAAAGAGAGACAAUGGAAGUGCGGAAAAGAGCACCUAAAAUUAAUCCUAAAAUCAAAAUCAACCUUAAUGUAGUUUGAACAUAACUAUCUAAUUUCUAAGGCAGUUUUUUUUAACAGAAACAAUCAAUAUAAAUCUCUUCCUUAUAAUUAUAAUGAAACUCAAUCCAUCCUUUACAUCAGAGAUAUAUGUACCCAACCAAAGUAGGAGUAACCAACUAGUUUAAUCCCUACAAGGCUACCAACUCAAAUUAGCCCCCUCUAAAAAACCCCCCUCAAAUUAGCCCCUAAUUUGUCUAUCUUAGAAGAAAAAUCCAAAGGGUUAAAGUCCCAAUCUUCUCAAAUAAGAUUCAAUCCUAUCCUAGGAUUAGCCUAAACUUCAUUUCUUUAAUCCAAACUUCGCCUAUAAAAGCAGCUCGUCUCAUCACUCAAACUCACACACUCCAAGCAAGAACUCAGCUUAGCUAGCUAGCAAUGGCCAGCGCCCUCGCCUUCGUCGCCGUCCUCCUCGCCGCCGCCGCCGCGGCGACCUCGCCGGCGGCGGUGGCGGCCACCACGCUGACCAUCCAGAACCUGUGCCCGCACCCGGUGUGGCCGCUCGUCACCCCCACCUCCGGCCAACCCAUCUCCGACAACACCGCGCGCCUCGACCCCAACUCCCUCAUCUCCCUCGCCUUCCCGCCCACGCCGUGGUCCGGCCGCGUCGCCGCGCGCACCGGCUGCGACGCGGCGGCGUCGCCGCCGGCCGGGUGCGAGACCGGCGCCUCGCCGCCGUCCACCGUGGCGCAGCUGAGCGUCCACGGCGGCGGCGACGUCGCGACGUACAGCGUCAGCCUCGUGGACGGCUUCAACGUGCCCGUGGUCGUCAGCCCGCAGGCCGUCGGCGGCGGCCAGUGCCCCGCCCUCGGCUGCGUCGUCGACCUCAACUGCGACUGCCCGCUGGGGCAGCGGUUCUCCGACGGCGCCGCCUGCCGCGGCCCGCCGGAGUACUUCAAGGGCCGGUGCCCGCAGACGAGGACGACGCCGGGCGACGUCGAGCCCGUGCCGCAGAGCUGCCGCUCCCCCGGCGAGCUCAAGGUCAUCUUCUGCCCGCCCACCAUGCUCACCGCCGCCGCCGCCGCCGCCGCCAGCGACAUGCUCAUCCGUACCGUCGUCGCCUCCAGCUAGAUCGCUCGCUUCGCCGGCGAGACGACGGCGAGAAGAGAAAUCCCGUGCCUAAUGCUGACGCAUGCAUGGGCUUAAUAAUAAAUUAAUUAAUCAAUUAAGCUGUGGCUUUGAGCAUGUUAAUUACUACUUAAUUAAUCUUAAUUAGCAUCGAUCUGUGGCUGUGGAGAUGUAAUUAGCUCGAGCUUUGGCUUGGAGCAUACUUGGUGUUCGUCUGUGUUGUUUUUCGAUGUGCUACGCCAUUAGCAAUGGCUAGCAAAAAAUAAUCAAUCAGUAUGAAAUUUCUCGUGUUGUGAUGAAUUUACAUGGUGUAUUUAAUUCGUUAUUUACCAUAAAUUUCAUCAUAUAUAUUAUCUAGAAAGUAAUUUGUUAUAUAUAUAGAGCUGAUAAUUAAGUAAAAACAUUCUGUGUUAUCGUCCCUGCUCCGCGUUAAUUAACGCAAAAUAGACAAGUUAUAUACUACUCUAUACUUAAUAUAACUUCUGUGAAAUUUCUACGCUUUCAUUGAUAAAUACAUUUUUCUACGCUUCAUUUUUUUUUUCUGAAGCUGAGGAGGCUAGUCCUCAUUCCAUGAGAGAGAAACAACAGCGACUACAGUUGAUCAAUCCAGGUAGUCCGCAAAUUAUACUUUCAAAAACUGAAUAAUGAAGGACGCAAAUUCGAAAAUCCAAUCUAGCUAGUAGAAAAGUUCAAACACGGCCUCAAAUCCAAAUUAAAAGUUCAUGCACGAGCGGCUGAUGCGCGUACCGUGUGCGAAUUCAAUCGAUCAAUACGAAUGGUUCUAUUUUUAUGACGACUAAACAUAAAUAUGACUUUAUUUAACUUUUGACAUGCAUAUAUACCUUGCUUCUUUGCAGAGAAAAGUGCCUUGCAUUGGCUAACUAAAGGCAAAGUUGAAAUUUGGGGAUUUAGCUCGAUAUGUCAUCAUCAUUAGCUGAAUUAUAGUACGAACUUGUCUAGGAAAUCGGGCAAAGCCGGUAAAGUAAAAGGAGCUCAUCAAGUUGAGAGUACCAGACAAAUUGAUUGUGUUUCAAAUUCGAAUCUGUUCCGGAAUCAGGAACAUUCAAUAAACCACAGCUGGGUUUUCGUUUUCUGCGAGUUAAUCUUAACUAAUUAAAAGAUUCGUAUUUUUCCAAUCGUCACCUCGUCCGUGCGCUGUUUUUUCGUCCGUGCCCCCCCCCCCCCCCCCCAAAUCAUCCGCCCCCAAAAUCUCAUCCGGAAUUCCAUCAUACAAAUUGAAUCGGACGGGGAAUACUGAAACAUAUACACACAACCAAAAUCCCAUCCGGAAUUCCAUCAUACAAAUUGAAUAGGAGAGGGAAAACUGAAACAUAUACACACAAAUUUUAUCCAAAUCCUAGAGAAAACAUUACUACAAGAACACAAAUAAAAAAACCAAACCGGAAGGGGAGGGUGCCGCCGCCACUGCCGAACCGCAGCCGCCUCCCACUGGAUCCGGCGGAGGGGAGGGCGCCGCCGCCGCUGGGACGCCGGGUUGCCACCGCCUCCCCUCCCCUCCCCUCCCGCUGGAUCCGAACGCCGGGCCACCACCAUCUCACCGCCGCCUCCCCUCUCACUGGAUCCGGCGGAGGGGAGGGCGCCGCCCCACCACCACCGUCUCCCCUCCCGUCCCUCCGGGAAACCGGGCCGCCGCCGCCUCCCCUCCCACUGGAUCCGGCGGAGGGGAGGGCACCACUACCACCACACAUGAGACAGAGAGGAAGAGGGUGCUGCUGGCCAUGGGGAAGGAGCCAUGGAGGGGGAGGGGACGGAGAAAGAGGGUGCUGGGAAGGAGCCAUGGAGGGGGGGAGGGGACGGAGGAAGAGGGUGCUGGGAAGGAGCCAUGGGAGGGGGAGGGGGACGGCGUGCGUAGAGGGUGAGGGGAGGGGGAAGGGGUCGCCAGAUGAGAAGGAGAUAGGGGUAGGCGGAGAAGAGAAAAAAAAGAGGCGGGCGGAAGUAACGAGGCGCGCCGCUCUCUCGCUCUCCGCUCGUGUCCACCGUCACGCUCGUAUGGGCAAUUUUUUUUAAAAAAAAAGGCAGAGCAAGCAAUUAAUACAUGAUUAAUUAAUUAUUAAUUAUUAUAAAUUUGAAAAAUGGGUUCCUUUGAAUUUUUUAAAUAACUUUUAUAUAUUAUUUUUCAAAAAAUACACCGUUUAGUAGUUUGGAAAUGUGUUAACGAAAAACAAAAAAGUUCAAGUUUAGAGUUGGAGUUUAGAAGGGGGCCUUAAACGUAACAAUCAGAUUUCAUCCAUCGUGGUGCGUCAUCACCACUUCAGCCUGAGAGGAUCGGGAGUUAGGACAGGAAAAACUGAAAUAGGGUUAGGGUUUUGGUACCGGCCGUUUUAAUGGAUUCUGAACCGAUCCGAACCGUCCAUCAAAACGAGUGGCUCGGAUCAAUCCCGCAUCGAGCUGGCCUCCAUCUCUGCGCUGCAGCACUACUGGGCCGCACGCAGCACAUGAAGCACUAACAGCGUGUGAUUGAGUUGUUGGGCCACAUUUGGUAUGGUUAGUCUUUUUUUAAAGCAGCAAGUCCACUUUGUCUCUCUCAAAUAUAUCUCCAAUCUAAUUUUCAUAGAAAAACUAAAAAUAAAAAUUACCUGACAAAAUACAAUUACCCAACAAGAGGAAGUUAGUCUUUUUUUAAUUGCGAUAAAACCUUAGUUGAUGUUGAAAUAUAUUGUUUUCAACAUGUUGUUUAUUGGCAAAUUUAUAUCAAGAAUGCCUUACUCUAAAAGGACUCAUAUCACAAAUUAAAUCCUAAAAAUAUUUAUUGUGAUUUUAAUUGAAAUUACUCCGUAGCAACGCACUAUUGAAUAAUAAUUUAUUAUGAGCUAUAUUUCCCUCUAUCAUUUGAGACUUUUUCUAGCGAGAUAAAAGUACCAAAGCAGUGUAAAAAAAUUUCAGUUACAAACAAAUAUUUUUAGUUUUAAUACACCACAGCGAAGCACGGGCAUGUUGCUAGUUACUUAAAUUUCCCACAAAACCAUUUUGCUUCACUUGAAAAAUUUUCAAUUCUGUUUAUUUAACUUCUAUUUUUUUGAAGGUACUAAUAAACCAUCGGAUAUGCUUGGUAGGCUCUGCCUAUUUAUUUCAAAAGUAUUUCUUGGGUGUCAGGUGCUUUAUAGGUUUGGGGUAAAAUAGCAUGCAUAAUCACUGUACUAAUCAUGAUUCCAGUGGUUAAAGCCGAGGAAUCUGUACUACAAAGAAAAAUCUACAAAAGUUUAAAGAUAAAGACCAAUUCCUCUGCCUUAUUCUCUGCUUUUUCGCCGUAAGAAUGAACAUUUUAGUUUGGCGGUUUUCGCUCUUGAAUACCACCAAAGUUUGCUUGCUCGCCCAAUAAUCAUUGAAUAGAAGCAUUUUCAUUGAAGGGAAAAAUUACAUGACAAAUAGCAUCAAAACUCUGUCAGUUGUUUCUACUCCUAUGAGAAAAUGAACAGCACUGACAGAAGCUGUAGAACAAGUGAAACUUCAUUUUUGGCUGCGUUCGGGAGGAGGGCACGCACAACGAAGCAUGCAUUAUUGCAUAAUUAAUUAAGCAUUAGCUAUUUUUUAAAAAAAAUAGAUUAAUUUGAUUUUUUUUAAAUAACUUUCAUAUAGAAAUUUUUUAUAAAAGACGCACUGUUUAGUAGUUUGAAAAAAAUGUACGCGGAAAACGAGGGAGUAAGAACACAUCCUUUGUUGUUGAAAUGGCGAAGACAAGCUCUGGCAAGGCUAUAUUAGGGCUUAGGUCCAAAACCUGUUGGGCCACUUAAGUCCUCCUUUUCAUGGGCCUCAACAAGUUCCAUCCUUUUGAUGGGCUGAUAUUUUGGGCAAAAUUUUGGCACACAUGGAUGGGCCAGUAUUGAGGCCCAUCAAAAAUGAAUCAUGAUAAUGUGAUGACCCAGCCCAAGAUGAGUUGGCCUGGCCUAACAAACAUAUCAGUCCUUACUGUUCAAUAUCAGGAGAAAAGAAAAGAACAGAAGAGAUCUAAGAAUAAGUUGGCCUUUACAUGCAUGCUGUCUUGAUACGUUUGAGUCGAUUUAGUGGCCAAUAAUGCUCAGUGGUGCAUGUAUGAAUUAAGUUAAAACAAAAGGUAAUGUGUCUAUCUCAAUGACAAGAUUAUACCUGAGUAAAAUGCACGGAGGGUCAUCCAAUUUAUUUAGGUGUGUCAUAUAAUUUAUUCUACUUGGCAAAUGUUCAUAUAAAUGUAAGUUUAGUGAGUCAUUUGCCAAUCUAACUAUUCAUCUAUCCACACGAGUAUGCCUUGUACAAUGACAUGUCACAUAAGAUUAAAAAAAUUGCAUCCAAAAAUGUGUAGAAAACUCUUCGUGUAUUUUUUUCCUUUCUCGCAGCACUACCAAUUGGCAAUACACGAAAUUAGUGAAACCAAAUCAUUUCACUUGUGCCUAACCUAAGAAGAAAGCUUGGGAGGUCGAGCGAGCCGAGUAACCCUGCUCACUUGUCCAACGCUAGACUUAAAACUUGAAAACUGGAUCUAUCAAGUUUUGAAUAGAAAUUUCUAUACAGAAAGUUAUUUGAAAAGUGUAUCAUUCGAAGUUUGGAAGUCGUUCUCAUAAAAAAAAAGGGUAAAAAAUCAGUCGAGAAGCUGAUUCAAACUCAGCAUAAGCUCUUCCCUUAUAUGAAACCGUCCUCGGAGGCUACUAGCUAAGACUUCAGAAGGGACAAUUUCUCCCUAAUUAUAAUUAUCUGAAGUUGGCUAAACCCAAAGUCCCUGAGCACCCCAAAGCAAAGCAUUACUCCCUCUAUCCCAUAAAAAACCAAUACUGAAUAUGACACAUCAUGUUACUACGAAUCUGAAUAUUGUACUGGAAUGCGUCACAUCCAAUUCUAUAUUCGUUUUUUUUUUGACAGAAUGAGUAUAUCUCAGUGCCGACAUGACGACAAGUAAUUUCAAAAAAAAAAAUGACAUGAGGACAAGUGAAGUGCCACCAACCAAGGUACAGGAAUACAUAUAUCCCGCGUCCCAAGCAUCUUGUAAAUACGCACGUAGUAGAUGUAACUAAUGAAGAAAUAACCGCAUGUGAAGGAACAUUCCCCAAGCACGAAAUGGUGGUUAGAUUAAAGUAAUUAAGCCAAGGCGAUUCCAUUAAACUAAAUUAAUCCUUGCUUUGUCAGUUCGACCCAUCCAGUUGAUGGGCUCUCCAGUUUCCUAUGCGAGCCCGUGCUACACCUCUGUCAGCUGAUUGCCAGUCGGUGCUCAGAUCUCCAUGCAUCCAUCUUUUCACUAAUUAUGUAUAAUAAAAAUUUAAAAUUAAUAUACGGAUAAUGCAAAAUAAUUAAUUCCACAGAAAAUGAAAUUUCCAUCAGCAAAACCAAAUAAAAUUUAGAAACGAUCGAACAGGAAAGCAAGUAGAAUUACUGUAUUUCACAUUUGCUCCCUUCAAUGGAAUAUAUUUUGAUAAUAUAUUUGUUUUGUACUGAAAAUAUUACUAUAUUUUUUAAUAAACUCAGUUAAAUUUAAAAAAAAUAUAAAGAAAAAGGUUAAACGAUUUAUAAUAUGAAACGGAUUAAGACAUGAGAGAAAAUACUGAAAUAUUCUUGCAAAACUUGUGCCUAUGAACCUAUCCGAAACAUUAAUUAAGCGCACGCAAUGUGCCGACGCCGCAUGCAAAUUAAACGCACUAGCUAAAAAGCCACUAUCAAGGAUAAAGUACACUCCUACUAAAGUGCAGUGAUUGGUUAAUGUAGGCCACUCUAUUUUACAGCCACCAACCUAAAUUUCAGCUAAAAACCGGUUCAUUUCGGCUGUUAGAGUACUCCCUUCAGUUUAAUAUUAAUUGACGUUUUGAACAAGGUUGAGAUCAAACUUUUAUAACUUAGACUCUUAAUAACUUUAAAAAUAUUUAGUUUAUAGGAACUAGAACAACAUAUAUAGAUUUGUUUUUAAAGUACUAUAAUAAAAGUAAACAUGCAUUUAUUUAUUAUAUAUAUUAUAAUAAAAAAAUAAGGUCAAAGAUGUAUCUUGUAGACCGUGUCAUUAUCCAAAAUGUCAAUUAAAAUGAAACCGGAGGGAGUAAGUUAUAUUACUCCCUUUGUUGUUCAGGACAUGUUCCCUAAACUUAUUUUGUGUAAAUAGUUUUUCACUUAUAUAAAGGUUCUAAAAAUAUCAUACUAUUAAUUUACCACUAAGAUUAUAAUACUCGAUUAAUUUACCUUAUUUGGCAUGCCUCCGAGUUGCUUAAAGCACCCGCAAUGGUUAUCUAUAGGCUCUCUAUAAGAGAUCCAUGUCAGCAUAUUUUUUUACUUGGAAGAGAUUAAAUGAAGAGAGAGAACAAAACUAUCUACUAACCUGGAGAUAGUCUAUAGAGAAAAACGAGGCAAUAGAUUAGAGAGCUAUAGAUACCCAUGUAGAUAUACCAUUGAAGUGGUUUACUAUUAAUCUAGUCUAUUGCUGAUAUGUACAUGUUUUAUAGAUAGCACCUUACUUUAUCAUUGCGGGUGCUCUUAGGCCACUAUGAAGUACUCCCUUCGUUUCGUUUUAAGUGUUGUUAUGAUUUUCCUCGCUCAACUUUAACCGUCUGUCUUAUUUAAAAAAAUUUAAGUACAUAAGUCACGAGUAAAAUAUUAUUUAUGUUUUAUCAUCUUAUAACAAUAAAAAUACUAAUUAUAAGAAAAGUUUAAAUAAGAUGAACGAUUAAAGCUGAGAAAAAACUUAUGGUUGUACUAAAGUACUCCGUACCCUAGACCCUAGUAAUUAAUGUGCAAUGGCAGAUUACUGUACGGUACCACACUGGCACCCUCUCUUCAUUUUACUGCCACCAACCCAAUAGUAAAAACGAAAAAAAAAAAAGAAAAGCAAAUUUACACGCGAUACACACAUUUCACCGAAGCUACAAUGCACGGAGCUGCAGUACAUGGAUCGUGUGACUCACGUUGCAGCCACGCGCUACAAAAGAACCCAAACCCUACACCUGCAUGCAUAGUACUCAUCAAUCAUCAUCCGCAUCCACUCUCUCCAUUCCGAAUAAAUAAAUAUACAAUAAGAUAUAAAAACCUACAAAUUUAAUAUAAAUAUGAUAAUCCCUUCAUCCCAUUUUAAGUGCAUUUUUUCCAAGACCGUCCAUUUUAUAUAAAAAAAAUAUUAGUUUUUUUAAUUUUUACUAAAUGAUGAAUAUUAUUUUACGCGUGACUUAUUUUUAAAAAAAAUUAAAAUUUUUUAAAAGGAUAAGUCCAUUUUACGCCCUCAAACUUUUGUGUUUGUCUAAAAUACACCCUCGAACUACAAAACCGGGUAUCUAACACCCUCUAACUAUUAACACCCUCUAACUAUUAAAACCGUGUAAUUUACCCCCAAAACCAAAUCAAAGUGGUUUUUUGGUUACGUGGUAUCUACGUGUCAAUCCAAGUCAGCAAAAUUAUUGAAGCAAAAUCCUCUCCUCUCCUCUCCUCUCAGCCUCUCACUCUUUCCUCCUCUCCUCUCUCUCUCUCUCUCUCACCGACGGGAGCUGCGCGGCGUGGCGGGCUGGAGCGGCGGGCUCGGCACCGGCAGCGGCUGCGGCCUUCCAUCCGUGACGGCGGCGGGCACGGCGACGACGACGGGAGCGGUGGCGGCGGCGGCGGCUGCAGCUGCGGCUAGGUCGGCCAGCGUCCGAAGGUCGCGGGGCAGCGGAUCCGUCGGCCGUGGAGCCGGCCGCUGGCGACGACGACGGCGGUUGUGGUGACGCCGGAUGCGGCGAGCUCGACCGGUGGCAUGGCCUAGGGAGGAGCUCGCGGCACUCGACGGCGACGGCCAUGGUGCAGAGUUUGCCGGCUCGAGGAGCAGCAGGAAGAAGGAAGAAGAUGGGGACGUGGAUGUCGCUGGUGUGGUUCUUGAUGUUCCCGGCGAAGAAGUACAAGAUCGUCGUCGUCGGCCUCGACGAUGGCAAGACCACCACGCUCUACAAGCUCCAUGCUGCCCAAACCAAUCUCCCCCAACCCGACCUUUCUCCUCCCUGGCAGUGGCAGCCAAGGGGCUUGGAGCUCGUUGGGUGGCGUUACUAGCGGCGAUGGCCGAAGGGCGUGGAGCUCGAGGGACCCCCUCCACAACCGCUCGCCACCGCCAUCACCUUGGCCACCACCUAUCUCGUGUGCCGAUCUCAACCCGCUAUGGAGGAGGGCAGAUUUGUGGCAGGAAAGCGGUGGGAGACUGCUUGCUGGGGGCUGGAGGGAGUGAGGCCAGUGGAAAACGGGAUGGAGGCUGAGACAGAGGGAGCUCGUCGGCAACUUCGGCUGCUCCAUUGAGAUUUUCAGGGAGGAAGGGGAAAGAGCAGAGAGGAAGGAAGAAGAAGAAAGGGGUGUACUGACUAGUGGGACCCCCUCUCCCUCUUGGUGACGUGGAAUUCUUUUUUAGAGGUGGCAUCCGACGUGGCAUCCAAUUGUACCAAAACCAGCCUAAAAUUGCUUUGGGGGUAAAGUGUCCGGUUUUAAUAGUUCGAGGGUGUUAGAUAUCCGGUUUUACAGUUCGAGGGUGUGUUUUAGACAAGGUAAAUAGUUGAAGGGCGUAAAAUGGACUUAUCCUUUUUUUUAAAAUAAGACGAAUGAUCAAACGUUUAAGAUAGAAGCCCACGACUGCACUUAAAAUAGAUUAGAGGGAAAAUAUUUUAUAUUACGACUUUAAACAUUACUCUCUCCUUCGAAAAGUCUAAGUCCUAUUUCUUUUUACACUAAGACAAAAAAAAUAAUUCAUUUACCAUGUGCCAAAACCAAUGAACAUGCAACCAUUAAACAUAAAAAUGGCUUCUUGGGUUUCUAUUAAAAAUUUAAUUUAGCACAUGAUCACUACAGAUAGGAAUUGAUUUUUGAAAAAAAAUUAAAGAAUGAAAUAGGUAGGAGGGAGUUAUUCUGUUUAGACUGUGUUUAGUUCAUUAAAAAAAAGUUAAAAAUUUAGGAAAAGUUGAAAGUUUGGAAAAAAAAAGUUAAAAGUUUAUAUGUGUAGGAAAGUUUUGGAUGUAAUGUAAUGUGAUGUAAAAUUAGAAGUUUGGGGUAGCUGGGGUAAACUAAACACGCCCUAAAUUUUACUCCUAUGGAAGCAGUAUUGCCUCUGACACGCAAAGCUAGCUUUCGAUCGAUCUCAUCCGCGUCACUGUCCCUACCUAGCUGACCAGCACCAGCUCGAUCGAUCUACUCCUAUCUAGCAAGAUCCAGUAUGCUCCCUCACAGAUUAUUUAUCAAAUUAAUUAAUCACCCCGUUAAUUACACCACUGGUUCACUUAAACCCUAGUUAACCCCCUAACCCCAAACCCCCCAUCCCCCGCUAUAAAUACCACCCCCAAAUCUCCCUCCCAAACCAACCCAACCCAAAGGAAAUCCAUCCAUGGCGAUCUCCAAGCUCCAGCUCGCCCUCCUCGCCGCCGCAAUGGCGGCGGCGGCGAUCUCCCCCACCGCCUCCGGCGCCUACACCGGCUGCGCGACGCCGAGGAAGGUGACGAUCCAGAACCUCUCCGGCCGCGACCUGCCCCUCUCCGAGACGCCGCUGGCGAACAGCGGCGCGCUGUUCGGCGCCGGCUACGUGCUCCGCCACGGCACGCACGCCGAGUUCACGACGUGCCUGUGGACGGGGCGCGUGGCGGCGCCGGGGGCGGCGGUGGUGGAGUUCCACGUCGGCCCCGACGGCGGCGCGUGGUACCAGGUGGACAACCGCCAGGCCGGGUCGCCGGUGAAGGUCACCGUGACGCCGCACGGCCGGCCGCUCCAGGGCCACUGCCCCGCCGCCGGGUGCCGCGGCGGCGGCCAGUGCUUCGCCGACGCCGUCCCCGGCGGCAACUGCCACGCCGUCGACGAGCUCAAGAUCAUCUACUACAGCCCGUGAUUUUGGUUUUGGUUUGGUUAAAUUUCGUUUGGAUUAGUGGGUGAUUAGGCCGUCUAUUAGUUUUAAGUUAAUCAUUUGGAUCGUCGUUGAGUCCGUCUACUAGCUAUAUGUAGCUACUGCUAGCUUUAGCUAGUGAGUGUGUCAGUGUGUGACAGUGUCACGUCAUCGCAUGCAUGCAUGCAUUGAUGUCGACAUGUCCUCGUAAUGUGCGUCGUGUUUUGUCUUGUCGUGUUGUUGAUUAAUCCUCGAUAAUUUGAUGUGCAUGCAUUGUUUGCAGUGCAGUGUGCCAGUGUUGUUAUAUUACUGGACAGUGGACGCCUGAUCGAGCAGUGAAACUCCAGCUGAACAUUAUCAUCAUAAUCAUAGACAAAAAUAUAAUGGAAAGGAAAGAUGAACUGAUGAAGUAGCUUAAUAACUACUCCAUCCGUAAAAAAAAAAAACUGACCUAAGAGUAAGAGGGGAUCCUCUGUUCAGAUUCGUGGUACUAUAAGAGUCACGUUCACUUAUAGUUUGGUUUUUUAGGACGGAGAAAGUACUUCACUCCUCAUUAUUUUUGGUUUUUUAGGACGGAGAAAAUACUUCACUCCUCAUUAUUUUUAGCACAAUAUCAAAUCAAACAUUUUUAAAUUUGACUAUAAUAGUAAAAAAAUUAAAAUUGAUAUUACUAGAUUUAUCAUUAAAUAAACUAUCAUAAUAUGAAACUCUUUUUAUUUAGAACAUCUUAUUUUUAUAGAUAUUGUUGGUUAAAGUAUCAUUUUGAAGACUAUGUCGAAGUCUAAAAAAUACUUAUAUUUUAGUACAGAAGGAGUAGUUUAUUCUUUUAACAGAGUAUCGGAGUGAAGACAAAUAUGCAAAUUCUUUGAUCGUAUUUAAGAAAGGAAUAUUACAAUAAGGCUAUAAUAAUUGGGCAUAAGGCAAGAAUUAAAGUGAAUCAUGACAAAUUGGGAAGCAUAUGUACCAAUAAUUUUUUCUAAUAGUAAACAUGAACAUAAGUAUUAUAAAUAAAUGCAGUGGUGGCAGAUACUACAAACAUUCCUCAAGCACGAGAUGUGAAUUUCAAAUUGAUGAUUAGUUUAGAAAAUUUAUACUAAAUACUAAUUUGGUGUAUUAAUUAUUAAACAUAGAUUAAUUACAAAACUAAUUACACAUAUGGAGUCUAAUUUGCUAGACGAAUUUAUUAAAUCUAAUUAAUCUAUAUUUAGCACAUAUUUACUGUAACAGUACAUUGUCAAAUUAUGGAUUAAUUAAUCUUAUCUCGUAAAUUAAUCUUAAUCUAUGUACUUAAUUUUUGAAAUUAGUAUAUGUUUAACCGUUUAAAUUAAUGUCUAAACAUCGAUGUGUCCCUGUAUUCCAACUACCCCUACGUUGUGCUACUGCUACCUGAUCUGAAUAGUAGUAUGAUUCCAGCAUGCACGCGUGCCCGGCAGAGCUCAGAUCUCAAAAAUUAACAGAGUAUCUUCUGGCCCAUUCCCUGCACAAGCAGAUAAAAAAGCGUAGCCACUCGUUUCUGUCGACCAUUUGGUCCAAUUGCAAAAUUAACCAAAUGCAAAAUGAAUGGAAAUUUGUACUAAGUGACGAUUAACUUGGUUAAUUAACCUGAAACUCAAGAAAUUAAUGAGACCGGAUUAAUCACACUUCUAUUACUUAUGCAAAUGCACAGCUUGUUUACUGCAAAAUAAACUAUGAUUAAAAAAACAAAAAAUCAAAUCCAAAAUUAAAUUCUAAAAUUUAAAUUUGAACUUAUAAGUAUAAGCAUAAGCCAACUAAUAAGGUCAUGAGGCUCGUGUCUCGUCUGGCUCGUGUCUCGUCUGCCCCUCUCUUGUCCUCCUUGCUCUUCUUUUUUCUGGUCAGGUCCCAAUUCUAGCGACAGCCCAAUUUGGACUUGUUUGGAGCUGGAGCUCAGCCAAACAGUUUCAGUUCCACCUAAAAUAAGAGUUGAGUUGAAUGAAGCACUCUCACAAAAUAAACUAGAGAGGUGAAGUAGGGUUUAGUCAGCCUCACAAUUCUACUUCAGACACAACUCCUGAAGCUAAAUUCAAGAGUUGUAGCUCUAAUUGACCGUCCAUGCUGGGGAGUGGACACCCAACACUAAAGGCCCCUUUGAAUCGCAGGAUUGAGAAAACGUAGUAAUAAGAAAAACGUAGGAUUUUGAUAGGAAUGUAAGUGUAAAACAGAGGAUUGCAAAACACAGGAAAAACACAUGAAUGACCAUUUGAUUGAACCACAGGAAAAACAAAGGAAUUGGAUAAGAGAGAUAGAUUCAAAGGAAAGUUAACAAGAGGUUGAAACUCUUGCUAAAUUUCCUCCAAAAUCUCUAUAGGAUUGUCCAUUCCAUAGAAAUUUCAAAUGAUUAAAUAGGAUUCAAUCCUUUGUUUCAAAGGGCUUCGUAGGAAAUUUUUCUAUAAAAUUAAAACCCUCUACAAUUCAUAUUAUUUUCCUCCGAAUCAAAGAGCCUAACGAGGCCAUGCAUUCCUACGCUAUCCGGCCUAGAAUCAUUGGCCGGCCCGUCACGUACGGCCCAACGUUCGAGAUUAUGGGGUUGUUUGGUUGGCGGCUUGGAAUGCCACGCCACGGCGUGGCUCGCCACAGGAGUGUGACGGACGUUUCGUCCGCCUCAGAAAACACUGUAGAGUGGCGAAAAUACUGUAGCUAUGGUAUUCAAUGGCUGGGAUCCAAACACACCCUAUGUGAUUAAUUGCAGCAGUUUCAGCCUUGUACGCACCAAAUAAUCGGAGCUGAUUUCUUCCGUCCAACACCUGAAGAACGCAAGGGUGGUACUUUUUACACUGUAAAAUUUGAAGGCUUAGGUUUAAAAAGCAUUUUAUGCAUUUUUGACCCAAAAAUAUUUAAGGUUUAGGUAGGGUUGUGAAAGAAAACAAAAUUAUUAUCAAUGAUAGGUAAUUUACCAAAGAGAAACAAAAUUAAUAAUUUACCAAAUUAUUAGUUAUCAACAAUAAUUUUAAUUACAUCACAAGUUAUUAACAGUUAGCAUCACAAAUGAACCAAGAGAAAGGGGUACAAGAAUUCAGAGAUGAGUCAAAAUUAGCUAAUAGAUAUGUAUCAGGUCGAGCAUGAGUUACUAACGGAUAAAAAAUGAAACCUGUUUGUUGCCCAUAACGUCUUCGGAUCUCGAACGGACAUGUCCGCGGGUAAAAAGUCACACCCACGCCCAUGCCCAUCGGGUCGGGUAUCCACGAAUACCCGGACCUAUGGGCAAAAUUGCCAUCUCUAGCCAUAAGCUCUACAUUGUGAAGAUCUAAACAACACCAUAUGUUGGGGUGAGUCACAUAAUAUAAGGGAUUUCAGGUGGAUGUAAUAUAUCCCAGUACACAUCUUAGUCAAUAUUCAUUGUACUAGAAUGUGUCACAUUCAUCUAAAAUCUCUUAUAUUAUAGUACGGAGUAAGUAGUAACAAUUUCUGGCUCUUGUCGUUCUUUCAUUCAGGGGAAGAAAUAGUUAGAAGAAGAAAAGAAAGAACACAGCUGGAUGGGUAGAUUCCAUGGCAUAUCCAGCAUGCAUUCAACCUCCUCGCCCACACUCACAGUCAUCGUUCUUAUCCUCCUGACCCUCCGAUUGUUGAAAGCAGCACGUGUGGAUCUGUACACGGACACUGCAUUUAAUACACAGUACAUCAAGCACGAAGCCUCCGAAUUGUUGUAAUUUGCAUUAUAUUGCAAUUUACAGACAUGCACGUUUAGCAAUAAUGCACUGUAUUCGUUCAAGAAAAUCCUUUUUCCAGUUUGGACGACAAAAUUCAUAACAAAUGCUAAACUUGCUAAUACCCACGUAAAAGAAAAAAAAAACUGCAUUUAUGUUUGCGCAGGGCUUGUUCGAAAUGCACGAUGAAAAAAAGAACGAAGAAAUAGAAAAACGUAUGAUUUUAAUAAAAUGUACUACUUCCGUCUCAUAAUAUAGGUAAUGAAGUAAUCUAUAAUCGGAUGGAACUCAUAGUAUAACAAAUCUGAACAAAAGAGUGUUUAGAUUCGUUGUACUAUGAAAUGUCUUAUUCAGUUCUUUAUUGUUUUAUUAUGCGAGUGAGAAAGUAUAAACAAGUACAAAUAGAUGAAUGUAAAACAUAAGAAUGGACGUUUAAUUAGGCUACAGAGAAACAUAGGAAUAAGAUAAGAGACAUAUUCAAGGGAAAUUUUGAGGUUUGAGCUAUUGUUAACUUUUCAUCAAAAUCUCUAUAGAAUUGACCAUUUUAUAAGAAUUUCAAAAGAAAUGAUAGUUUCAAACGACUUUUAUAUUUUUUUUCAUGUAUGAAUGAAAUCCUCAAAAUCUCAUAGAUUUUUCUUGCAAAUCAAAGUGGGCUUUCCGCAAGACCGGUGGCUUAAUUUGGCUACAAGGUUAACGCUGUGUUCGGAUUCCAGUAAUGGGAACUAAUCCCUCCUGCACGGAAAACGGAGCAGUCCAUUAACGUGUGAUUAAUUAAGUAUUAGCUAUUUUUUAAAAAACGAAUUAAUAUGUUUUUUAAACAACUUUCGUAUAGAACCUUUUUAUAAAAAAACAUAUUAUUUAGUAGUUUAAAAAGCGUGCGCGUGAAAAACGAGUAAGAUGAGUUAGAAACAUGGGAUGCAAACACAGCUGUAACUACAGCCUACUCCAGCCCAACCAUAGUCUACCGCUGGUCACAUUAUUUGAUUCUCUCUCUCUCUGUGAAAAAAAAAGAAGAGAAACUCAAUCCUGCGCUUGUAUUUAAAGCGUAAAAAUAGGAUGCCCAUAAUUGAUCAAGUUACUUCUCCAGACAAGAUUUACUUAUUUGAUUUAGACAUAUAGUACAUGCAGAAUCUCAAAAGGGAUAUGAAAAUCUGAAAAAAGUUUAUGCCAAUGUGACUAAGGCUGCCCAUGUUUUUCUCCCUUCUCUUUUUGAGAGAAGGCUGAAUGCGAAAGGCGGCAUAUGCUUGAGGUUCACUCGAGUGGGCCGACCGGAGGCAUCAUGACUCGUGAUAACAGUCCAAAUCAUGGAGCCAUGCCGCCAUGGAUCAAAGCUGCCUAGCUACCUCUCUAUUGUCUAUGGAUCCUUAUGCUGACAAGGACAUCCUAAUGUGCUCCUCCAUUUUAAACACUCCCUUUUGUUUUAAAAUAUAAGCUAACUUUAGAAAAAAUAUUAUUUGAAGGGAUUAACAACAUCGGUAAAUUUUUAUUAGGGAAAUGUACUGAUUGGUUGUGAUGAUGAGAGUAUAUGUAGAGACAUUAAAUGAGAGAGAGAUGGUUGAGUCGAGGGAGUAGGCGAUCAGGCAUAGAAGUAGAUAUAUUUCAGGAUAAAUUUUAAAUGUUAAAAGAAAAAAAAGUACUCUUACAUCUUAAAAUAUAAGUAUUUUUAAAUUUCGAUAUGGUCAUUGAGAUUCUACUUGGCUAAAAAUAUUUAAAAAAUAAAAUACUUUAAAUAUAAGCAUUUUUAAACUUCGACAUAGUCAUUGAGACGCUACUUUGACUAAAAAUAUUUUAAAAAAUAAUAUGUUUUAAAUAAAAAGAGUUGUAUAUUACGAUAGUUUAUUGAAUGAUAAAUCUACUAGUAACAUUAUUCUUACAUGAAUGAUCAUUUUUAUUUUUUAAGCUAUUAAUGGUCAAAGUUAAAAAUGUUUGACUUAGCAGCAUUUAGAAAAUGAUUAUAUUUCAGGAUGGAGAGAGUAGUACUUUAUCAACAUUGAUAAUAAUUUCUACUAGCUAGCAAUCAACACCGUACAUAUAAGUACUAGUACUACAUUCUUUGUAAAAUAAAAGGGGAUUUUGAGAAUGUGUGUGCACAUAUAUUUGUCGAAAUCCAUCCCUGUGACGGAUGUAGUAUAAACUUGCUUAUAUUACAACCAAUGCAUGCUGGGUUCUCUGCUAUCGGAUUGCGUACGCGCGUGCAGAAUUGUUGCUAGCUGUGCGCUACUCCUGUAGUUUGUUGGUAGUAGCACUCUAGCUAACCGCUUCGUUACAUGAUAUACUGAAUUAGACACCACUAGGCCAUCUAAUACCACAAAAUCUGAAUAUUCGUGAUACUAUGUGGUGGUAUUAUUUUGCUUAUUGUAUUUUACUAGGUACUCCCUGCAUCCAAUAUUAGUGCAACUUACAAAAUGUGAUAUAUCUUAUGAUUACGAAUUAGAAUUAUUAAUCUGGAUAUACAAUUGUCCAGAUUUAUAUUUUUAGGAUAUGUCAUAGUUGUCUGUUGCGAUUUUUAGUAUUAGAAAAUACUACAUUUAUAUUAGGUUACUUAUAUUGAUACGUACGGAGUAAGAAGGGUAAGAAAGAAUACGUUCACUGUUUUCCAGAACAGGUUUCCAUGCUCAUUGGUUCUUCGAAGGUUCUUGGCUUCGCAUCAAGCACGCGCGCAGUUUCCUAGGGCAGUCAACACUUGGGUUGUGGAUGCAAUCACACGAGCUACAGCGCACGCAGUUUUAGGCUUUAUGCAGUGAGCGUUGAGUGCAUGGAAUACUUUGGUUGUGAAAUCCUUUAUAUAUAUAUAUAUAUAUAUAUAUAUAUAUAUAUUUCUCUUUUAAAAUGGUGAAGUUAAUUAGCUGGCUAUCAUAUAAUCAUAUACUAAGCAAAUUAAUAACUUUCUCUUUGGAAUAAUUUAAACACAGGUGGUCGAUCGAAUAACAAAAGCAUCACGAGCUAUGAAUAUAAAUCCGACGGAACCCUAUAAGAUUCAUCAGUUCUUACUAAUCCAAAUUCCAAAGCAUGCACUUUUCAUCAUUAUCCCAUCUCAUAAACAAUUACUACAGCCCAAGGUUUUGACAUUAGAGCAAGUUUAAUAAUAUACUUCCUCUGUCCUAAAAUAUAGCUACCUAAUACUACAUGUGAUAUUAUCUUGUACUGCUGUCCAGAUUCGUAGUACUAGAUAAUGUCACAUCUACUACUAGGUAGCUAUAUUUUGGAAUGGAGGUAGUAGCUAAUCAUCUUCAAAUUAUUUAUAGUCAAUCUAAUAGAUGAUUCAUAUAAUUUGUAUCACCUCAAUAAUAAUUGGUAUCAUCUCUUCUCUCUCACCUAUAUAUUAUCUUUUGUAUACGUGCUUAUAAUUGAUUUAUAGUCUGUCAUUGUAUCUGCUCUUAGCUAGCUUGAUGACCUAGCAGCUUCAUCGAUUCUUGCGUGUCCUUUUGGAUUAGUGUGCAUCCAAGCUACGACAAUGGCGGCCGCCACCUUCGCCUUUAUAAAGCUUACCUUUGCUACCACUCAACCACACCCCCAUCCUCACCAACUCACUCCCUUGAAAAGCUAGACACACACACAUGGCCAAGCAGCUCGCCCUCGUUCUCCUCGUCGCCGUCGUGGCGGCGGCGGCGACGUCGGUGGCCGCCGCCACCAAGCUGACGCUCCACAACCUGUGCCCGUACCCGGUGUGGCCGCUGGUGACGCCCAACACCGGCUUCCCUUCCAUCUCCGGCAACACCGCGCGGCUCGACGGCGGCGGGCGCGGGCUCGUGUCGUACGACUUCCCGGCGAGCUUCUGGGCGGGGCGCGUCGUGGCGCGCACCGGGUGCGGCGGCGGCGGCGGACUGGUGCGGUGCGAGACCGGGAACGCGCCGCCGGCGACGGUGGUGCAGCUGGUGGUGCACUCGCCGGAGGGGGCACAAGACCUGGCCGCGUACAGCGUGAGCUUGGUGGAUGGGUUCAACGUCCCGGCGGUGGUGAGCCCGCAGGCCAUCGCCGGCGGCGGGCAGUGCCCGGCGCUGGGGUGCGCGGCCGACCUGAACGCCGGGUGCCCGCGGUCGCAGCGCGUCGUCGGCGCCGGCGGCGCCGUCGUGGCGUGCCGGGGCACGGCGGACUACUUCAAGGCGCGGUGCCCGCUGACGAGGACGACGGGGAGCGACGUCGAGCCCGUGCCGCAGCACUGCCUCGCCCCCGGCGAGCUCAAGGUCGUCUUCUGCCAGCCGUCCAUGGUCGCCGCCGCCGUGCCGGAGCUCAUCCGCACCGUCGUCGCCAACAUCUAGCUGUGUGUGAGGUCCUCGUCGUGCACACGUGGCGCGUCCUGCGUGCGCCACGUGUACGGACUAGCUGUGUGUAGAAGUGGGUAGGGGGGAAUAAUAAUGACAGUGCGUAUACACGUAUGUGUACACCGUAUGUCGACUGUACGCGUACGGACGGGCACAGUCUGGUAUUAGUGUUGUACGUGUACAAUCUACGACGUAUUUUGUUUUUUAUGUAAGAAAAAAAAAUGCUUUGAUGUGUUUUUAUUGCCACGUACUAUAUAUGUCUGUUUGACGCGAACCGACGAUGUAGCAACAACAGUAGAUAUGCACGUGAACGGGGAUGGAAGUUAUUGGAAAGAUUGUUUGUUUUGUAUGGAUGUCUGCAGGACAGCAACCAAAGCGUUCCAGUCUAUUUUCUCUUAUUAUCCUGCAGUAAAAACGUAGUUGUUCUCUUUCCAUCAUUUUCUUCUUUCACACGUACCCCCUCCAUCCCAUGAUAUAGGUGAUUUUAUGUAGAUGUGAAGUAUCGCAGUACAAUAAAUUUGGACAAAGAUUUGUCACGUCCAUCCAAAAUUUCUUAUAUUAUGAGACGGAGAGAGUAUGUUAUUAUUGUGCUUUAUGAUUAAUCUAUCCAUCCAUUCAAUCCCCAAUCGUGAAAAGCACAUCCACCCAAUCAAUCUGUAAUUAUAUAUGGAUACUAGCAAAAUGCCCAUGUGUUGCAUAAAUGCCCAUGCGUUAUAUUGGGUAAAGCAAAAAAAAAAGUAAAAAUGGGUGUGUGGGAGUAAAAUUCCACCAGAUUAAAUUGAGCUUCUUAUAGUCAAAUCGAAUCUUUCCAGUGUAAGUAAGACGCUAACAUGAUAUAAUUAUUUGUUUUUACAUAUUUCAAAGAGAGUAAUAGUACCAGAAAUGUUUUUUUUUUGCUAGGUAUCAGAUCAACCUUAUUGCAUUCCAAUCGCAUAAUAGCUUUCACUCAAAAAAAUUAAAAGGAAAUCGUACAAUGAAUGGAAAGGAAAAAAACUGGUGUAUCGCAGAAUAGCUUUCACUUCAAAAGAAGAAGAAAAUCGUACAAUGAAUGGAAAAAAAAUGAUGUGGUUAGAUGUCCUACGGCGAAUGAGAAAUUGACGAGGAAAAAAUCUGGAUGUAAACACGAUUCAUUUUGUUGGUGAUUAUAUUUUUUUUAAAAAAGAAAGACAUGUGAUUGUUUUCUAUUUUUUAAAAGUAAUUUAUUUUGUCGGUAAAUAAUUCAUUUUGUUGGUGAUCACAUGGUUUUUUUAAAAAAGAAAGACAUGUGAUUGUUUUUUAUUUUUUUAAAAGUAAUAAAAUUGCUCCUUAUUUUUAUCCAAUUCCUGGUAGGCGUGGAUCCAAACUUUAUUCAGUAUAGUAGCCUUGGGCAAGCCUCCUUUUUUUUUUGAGAACCAAAUAUAUUAAAUUUAGAAGCACAGCACAUGAUUAAGGAUUACAUCAUUAGCCACUUGGGCUAUUUGGGUAACUGCCUUAGAAGGACAGUUGGAUACUAGCAAGGAAUGGGAUACAUUUUGACAGAGAAAUUGAAUUGGCAGCUGUCUAUUUUGUUAUAAUUCUAUCAUUGCUUUUUUUGCUAGAAAAUCAGCCAUCUUAUUCAGAUCUCUGGAGCAGGGGAAGCAGACUCCAAUGCUGAGGAUGAGCAGCAAAAUUUCGUUGACGAAGCUGUUUCACAAGUACCUGAUUGUCCGAAAGAAAGACCACAUCUGUGAUCUUAAGUUUUUGACAAAUGCAGAGCGCAACAUAAAUACUAGCAUGUUCUGCUUGCAAAGCUGAAGUAUAAGUGUCAGAACUGGCCUUUACAAAUAAAGCCUUGUGAGAUGUUGGGUCAUGAAGAAACAGACCAAAACCUGACUUAUCAUCCUUCCAUGAAGCAUCAACAAAACAUCUUGUUCCAGAAGGAAUGGAGAUAUUUGAAUCAGGAGAAUUAAAAAAGAGAGAAUUAUCAUCCUGAUUUUGAGCUUGUGUUAAGGUGUUAUAGUUUGAAGCCAUAACAUCAGCUGCAAUGCAAACUUGAGAAGGCUCCCAGUUUUUUCUUUUGAAGUAGGAACCAUUUCUAGCUUUCCAGAUAAACCAGAGAAAAAUACAAAAUUUUUGAAAGCUUUCAGUUUUAGAAGAAGCUGCUAGAAUGAAAGAAAUAAUCUCUGGAACUGAAUUCAUACUAUCAAUGAUUUGGAAAUUCAACUUGAAAUCAGAGAUCAUCCAGGAAAGACGGGCAAAUGAGCAAUGAAAGAACAGAUGAACUGAAGUUUUUGCCGAGUUGCACCUGUGACAGGAAUCAAGAAUGUCUGGAAUUCUAAAAUGCAAGUUAUUUGCAGUUGGCAAAGCAUUACGAAUAAGUCUCCACAUAAAAGUUUUAACUUUAGGAGGGAUCAAUUUGUCUGACCAGGUUUUCUUUAAAAGAUUGAGAUGAAGAGUGGGAAUAGCACUUUGAACAUGAUUCAUUUCCUUGAAAUGAUAAUUAUAAGCACUUUUAGAAGUGCACUCACCUGAAGAGUUGUGCUUCCAACACAAUUUGUCCACACCUUGGUCAUUUAGACAUUGAAUCUUAAGUAUAGCCUGAGUAAAUCGUCUGCCACGGUCGUCUGCAUGAGUCAACGGUCAUCUGCCACGUCACGAAAAUCGCCCUUCAGGAGGGCGAGGCGGGCAAAUAGUUUUGUAAAUUUUUGAAAUACAAAAUUAGUUUUAUAAAUAUUUUAAUAAAAAAAUAAAAAAAAUCCUUUGCUCUGUGGGCUGGCUGCUGGACUGAGUUUGUUUUUUUUGGGCCAACCUGCUGCUGCUUUGGCUGGGCUGCUUGCGCUUUCUCCUGUUUCUCUUUUAUCUCCGGAGCAUCAUAGAUCGUCAUUAGGCGUCCGGAUUCGUGAAUUAGCGGCGAAAUAUCGCGUGGGCCCACGCUUUAACGACGGACAAAAAAAAAAUGGAAGACUUACCUAUUUUUUAAUUAGGUAUAUAUAAGUAUAGAUAUAGAUAGAUUGAUAGAUAUAGAUGUCCCGUUGCAAACACGACUAAACUUCCUCUUCUCCCAUUGCGUUCUCGCGUACAACGCGCAUACGUAAUCACAGAUCCAAUGUCCUAUCCCCUAUGCUUAUAGCAUAUCCCAAUUUAUAUAGGUCUGAUCCGUUAUAAUAUAGAAACAUGUUACUAGUUCUAAUAAAUAUUUAUAAAAAAUAAAAAUAAAGUCCUAUAUUUAAAUAUGGAGUUAAUCUCUGUUCCAAAAUAUACCAACUUAUAGAUUUUUUUUAGAUAAUGGAAUAUAAUAUUCCGGCCUUUGCUAAAAAAAACUACAGCCAAUUAUUACAAAGAUCCACUCCAAAAGAGAGUGUAGUUCAAGACAAGUUGAACACACCAAACAAGAGAAGAGAUGACCCAAACUGAGAAAAACAAAAUAAAAUGUGGAGCUAGAAGGCCUCGUCCAGGCCUAGGACUGAAGUUCGAAGCCAAUGUAUAGACCAAUGACAAUAUUCUUGCACGAAGAGGUUUCUCCAAAGCGGUGCCCCAAGGAAGAUGCGACGUGGAUCGCCGCCACCGCUCGUUCGGAACCGAAGCAAGGUUUUCACCUGGAGAAUAUGGUAGGGAAAGGAAAGGGGUAUGCUAAAACAAUGCCUCCAAGGAAACUAUAGAUAUUAAUUUGGAAAUAGGUACAAUAUUAAUUUCUUAGAAAACUUCUUUUAAGUGCAUUUUUUGAUUUUACAAUAAUUAAUUCAUUCGUAUGUCUUGACUCUUGACUAGUUAUUACAAAAAGGUUUAGUUAUGCAGCCAUUAAAAAAAAUCCCAUGGUAGUAAAGGAAAGAUCUGUAGAAGGUUGAAUGUGGUACGUGGAGGCUGCAAUGCCUCAACUACCACAGUACAGAAUCACAGCGAAAUGAGCGACGCCUCGCAGAGGCUUUGAGAAUUUUUUUUCGUUUUUAGAUUUUUUUUAAUAUUUACAGAAAUAAUCUAUCGACAAAAAAAUUGCAAAAAUAGUCUCUGCCGCCCCAAUGGUGGGUGGCAAGCUGACGUGGCAGACGGUGAGUCGACCGCGCCGUCUGCCGCCGUCGGCCAAAAUUGCGUCUGAAUCUGGCAGGGUUUCGCCCCUUCUUCUCUUCUCCUCCCCUCUCUUCCUUUUUUUUUCACUGGAAUUGAGGAGGGAGGAAUGAGGGCUGGGGGCUAGGCGGCAGGCCUUUUAUAGGCAGCGAGGCUUGCCGCCCGGCCAGAGGGCGGCAAGGGGCCGCCUGCAAAAUGACUGGCCCCGACUGGCUUUUUUGCAUUCGGGCCCCUUGCCGCCCCACCAGAGGGCGGCAAGGGUUUUCCUGCAAAAAAAACCCUCCCUCCGUCACCGCCCGUUCCUUUUUGCCACGUCAGCUUGCCGCCCCAGAGGUGGGCGGCAGGGUCUAUUUUUGUAAUUUUUUUGGCCGAUAGAUUAUUUCUGUAAAUAUUUUUUUAAAAAAAUCUAAAACCGAAAAAAUUCGAGGCUUUGAAGGUUAGGAUGGCCCAAACACAAGCUAAGAUACCACUGUUCGAAUUGGGCCUCGGAUGACAUGCAGACGGACGGCCCAUCCUUCAUUACUUGGGCUAGAACGUGGUGUGGCGUACGACCGGCCCAAACUACAUGGGCCGAAGCGACCAUCCCUCCAACUAUUAAAAUUUGGUGCAAUACUAGUUUCUCGCCGGUUUUGACUAACGCGACACCUACAUAACAUGUUGAGUUAGUGUUCGUUUGAUAUGCCAGCUAGUGGUGCUCACAUGUCAUUACAUUACAGUUAUAAAAAAAAUUAAUAAAAAAUAACACCUACAUAUUAGCAACAGACCGAUUAAAAAAUUAAUAAAAUAAAUACAUAAGGCCCACAUGUCGGUGUUUCUUCCCACCCAUUCCUAGUCUUCUGGAUAUUAGAGGGCGGAGAUGGUGGGAUGACCGCCGAUGCCAAAUAUGCUAAGCUUUGUUAUUGUCUCCUUCUGUGGAAAGUUCUACCCAGCCAAGUUAUCAGAACAAAUCUUGAUAUGCUUCAAAACAUCACCUUUUUGUUACCGUGAGAUGUAUUGGCUACUAUAGAUUAUUUGAUUGGAAUGAAAUUUGAAACGGAUAUACUUGACGAUGAUGAUAUGAAUCACUUGGAAAAUAAACGUAUUCGUUCGGUUGCGGAUCUUAUACAAGAUCAAUUCGGACUAUAGCUCCCACUCCGCCACGUCAACAGCCGUGCGUCUCAUUUUUUCUGCCUCGAGCCAUCCUUCCCUCCCAAGUCAACAAACCGCCAUUCCGACGCCGGCCUGCACCUAAACCAGAGGCAGCGACCAUUUUGAUUCAAAAUAGUUGAAAUUAUAGAAAAGCUAUAUGAAGAUCAUGUCAACAAGUGAAAUGGGAUUAGGUUUUAUUCUUUAAACUAAAAGAGAUUGAAUCAGAGAAUAGCAAUUAAUAGCUACUACUGCAGGAGUCCUGAUGGUCCAAAUAAUAAGCCACGUAUAUAAUCCUUCGAGUUCAGACAAAUAAUUAAGCCAUAACAAUUACUAAUAAAUAAACUAAUAGUACAGUCUUGCCCCUUCCUAUGCAUAAUUGCAUACUACACAUAUGUUUUUUUCUUUUCUUUUCCUUCUUCUGAGAGCAAUCUUGUAGAUUUCCUGCCUCUUGUCGUUCUCUCAUUCAGGACCAAAUGGAGAAAAGGAAAUACUGGAUAGUUACCGUAGAUUUUUUUUCUCUGUAUUUCAUUUUUUUUUGGUGAAACUGCAAUUGUUACCGUAAAUUAUAAGGCAUAUAUCGAGUAGCAUUCAGCCUCCUCACAGUUCUUAUCCACUUAUCCUGAAUUUCUCGAUCGUUCAAAGCUGCACGUGUGGAUUUGCAGUUUGUCACCCCCUGCAUUGCUUUCAAGAACCUCAGAACUAAAAACUGACACGCGUAGCACGAGUGCACUGUACCGAUGAAAGGUUCUCCAGUGAGGACGAUGAGAAAUAUAUAGAGAAUUAAGACAUUAUAUAUCUAAAAAAUACAUAGAGAAUUAAGCAUUAAUGCUUUGAUUUUAUCUUCUUAGAGUACCAACUAAGAAGAUUCAGUUUGAAAUUUAAUUUGGGAACGUUGCUAGUACUACCUUCAUAUUUAAAUACACGACUUUAUUCUGUCUUAAUCUGACCACUAUUUAUUUUUUUAUUAGAAUAUAAACAAAUAUCUAACAAAAUUAUAAUAUCGUAAAAGUAAAAAAAUAUAUCCAUAUAAUUUUGAUGUUUUCAGGCUAACCAAUUUAAGAGCUAUAAUAUAAUCAAAGUUUCAAAUGUUGAUCAACUAAAAUAAAUCCUGUCAUAUACUCAUAUUUAAAUACGGAAGGGGUACAAUGGAGAUGGCCCCACUAAAGAACAUCUCCUGAUUUUACAUGUCAUUAAAAUAUUAUUAAUAUCGAUCAAUGUAAUAUAUCAAUUUUAUAAAUAUGCAAGCUUAAAUUAGACUAUUGCAAGUUGAAGAAAGAAAAACUUUAACUAACACUAAAUAUGUAUUAUUCACUAUCAUGUGUUUAUUUGUUUGGCAAAUUUUAUGGGCCGAACUAAUAAACUUGUGUAUUUGUGAAGUGAUAUAUCACCUAUUGAUUUAUGUAUCAACUUUUUUCAUAAAUAUUUGAAUGAGAUGCAAUAAACGAAUAAACAUCCUUUUAUAAAGAUAAAAUUAGGCUUUCCCAUGUACUACAUAUCAAAUAAAGCCGUUAAUUUCAGAAAAUUUUCGUGGGCUUUGUCUAGGUAAACUUUUUUAUUAUGCAAAAGCACUCAAGCUGUUUUAUUUAAUGAUUUUGCAUAACUUAAACAUGCAAAACCAUGAGGAUUUCUCACAUGUUUUUUUUACUUGCUACAUGCUAAUCCAAAGCCCCUUUCACUGUCCCAUCGCUGCCAAGUGGUUUUGGCUUGUUCUUUCCGAAUAAUACCAUAUGCAUCCAACCUACUAAAAAACCUAGGAAAACGGCGUCUGCCACGUGUACACCACUCCUCUGUCUAUUUAAUCACAAGCAAAUCAAUUAACUCAUCCAUACUCAUCAGUUCAUCACAGAGAGAAAAGUUUGCACACAGCUAGCAUGGCGAACAAGCUGCAGCUCGCCAUCGCGUUCGUCGUCGUCGUCGUCGUCCUCGGCGCCAUGGCGGCAUCGGCGGCGGCGGCGGUGGCCCCCAUGCUGACGAUGCACAACCUGUGCCCGUACACGGUGUGGCCGAUCGUGUCGCCGGACAGUGGCUCGCCGCCCAUCGCCGACGGGAUACGGCUGGAGGGCCGCGGCGUCGGGCUGAGGUCGCUCAACCUCCCGGCGGGGUUCUGGUCGGGGCGCGUCGUGCCGCGCACAUGGUGCAGGGACGGCGGGCGGUGCGACACCGGGAACGCGCCGCCGGCGACGGUGGUGAGGCUGUCGUUCAACGGCGCCGGCGGGCUGGCGGAGUACAGCGUCAACCUCGGGGAAGGGUUCAACGUGCCGACGGUGGUGAGCCCGCACGCCAUCGGCGGCGGGAUGUGCCCGGCGCUGGGCUGCACGGCCGACCUCAACGCCGGGUGCGCGGCGGGGCAGCGCGUGUACGGCGGCGACACCGGCGGCGACGUCGUGGCGUGCAGGGGGCCGGCGAGCUACUUCAAGCAGCGGUGCCCGCUGACGAGGACGGGCGGGGGCGACGUGGAGCCCGUGCCGCAGCACUGCAUCUCCCCCGGCGAGAUCAAGCUCGUCUUCUGCCAGGCCGCCAUGGUCGCCGGCGAGCCGGAGCUCAUCCGCACCGUCGACGUCGCCGACAACUAGCUAGCCUAGCCGGCCGGUCCGUUAAUUAAUUACGUGUGUUUUAAUUAGUGCGUGUUUAACUAGUUAAUCAGAUCAUCAAGCAGUUAAAUAAUU